UAACGCGUGGGUAACCUGCCUUAUACAGGGGGAUAACAGUCAGAAAUGGCUGCUAAUACCGCAUAAGCGCACAGAGCUGCAUGGCUCAAUGUGAAAAACUCCGGUGGUAUAAGAUGGACCCGCGUUGGAUUAGCUUGUUGGUGGGGUAACGGCCCACCAAGGCGACGAUCCAUAGCCGGCCUGAGAGGGUGAACGGCCACAUUGGGACUGAGACACGGCCCAG
rnacentral:rRNA from 1 species